CCAAUAGCGUAUAUUAAAGUUGUUGCAGUUAGAAAGCUCGUAGUUGAAUUUCGGGAUCAAUAUUUCGGUCAUGCCGUUGGUAUGCACUGUUAUCAUUGAUUUCUCACCUUCUAAAGAACCGUAAUGCCAUUAAUUUGGUGUUACGGGGAAUUAGGACUGUUACCUUGAAAAAAUUAGAGUGUUUAAAGCAGGCUCACGCUUGAAUACAUUAGCAUGGAAUAAUGAAAUAGGACAUCCGAUUCUAUUUUGUUGGUUUCUAGGAUCGAUGUAAUGAUUAAUAGGGAUAGUUGGGGGCAUUAGUAUUCAAUUGUCAGAGGUGAAAUUCUUGGAUUUAUUGAAGACUAACUAAUGCGAAAGCAUUUGCCAAGGAUGUUUUCAUUAAUCAAGAACGAAAGUUAGGGGAUCGAAGACGAUCAGAUACCGUCGUAGUCUUAACCAUAAACUAUGCCGACUAGGGAUCGGAUGAUGUUAAUUUUUUAAUGACUCAUUCGGCGCCUUACG
rnacentral:rRNA from 1 species